UUUACCUCAAGGGAAAAUGGCCCCAGUACCCAUUGGAUAAGAGGUUGGGUGGACCCCAGAGCUGGUCUGGAUGACAGUGAGAAGAGAAGACUUGAACGUGGCUACCUUGGUCGUCCAGCCCCGUGGCUAGCCGCUAUACCGACUAUGUUAUCCUGGCUCCUCACAUAUGGUAUAAUGCUAUUGAAAAUUUAUUUCAACAGAGACAGUUAUGCAAAAACUAUUAAAAAAGUAAAACUAUCUCUGAAACAGGCCAUGGAGGCCCAUAGGGUCAUGAGAUGUCAAAAGUAUAUUUUGUUCCAAAAUAGAAUGGUAUGCUUUACAGUCAGUUGUAGAAAAUUAUUAAACAGCUUCUAAAUAUGGUAAACAACAAUCCAUGUAUAAAAAUUUUUUGUACAACUUUAAUGAGAAAUUUUAAGUUUGAGUGUUUCAAGAUAAUUAUUGCUCUCAACUGAACUAUGGGUAGAAAAUGCCUUCAUUUUCAGGUACAUAUUAUAAGCCAAAGAAUAAGUUUAAUUUAAAGUUCCUAAUCUAAUUACAGUCAAUAAAGUCAUCAGAGUCAUUAAUGGUAGUAGCUUCUGGUAAUGUAAUUAACAAAAUUGAACUUAACAUUAAUAUAAAGUGCAUAGAGUUUGGAGGAAGGCAAUUUGAUGGAAAUAUAUUAAGCAUUAUGUUCUGGAAAAUGUAUGGUGAAAAUUUGGUGCUAGUAGUUAUAUACUUUUGUUUUCACUUGGUGCAGCCAUGCAAAAACAGUAAUGCUUAUGACACACUGAAUUACCCUGAAUACUUUGUAGAGGAAAUAUUGGCGAUCAGGAGAUCAUACAUCCCAUAUCUAUGAAUCACUGCUGACAGUUCUUUUGAACUGUAAAAUGUUUUGAUAUCACCACAGUAUUUCAUGUCAUAAUAACAUAAGGACAUAAAAAACAUAGGUGGGAUACAGCAGAUAACAGAAAUUGUUUUCCGUUCUGACCUCAGAAGCAAUUUGAAUGAGAAUAUAUGAUGGUAUCGCCCUCAGAGUCUGAAGUGGGCUCAAUUACCAUUUGACAUUCUAGCAGUGAAAUGGCCAUCGAAAGUUCAAUGGGAAAGUUUGACAGUUCCCAUCCCUAGCCUCAGUUCCACAUAUGAGAUCUCCAUUGAUCCACUGUUGUACAUUGUAAACCUUGAGGGACACUCUGAAAUUCUGAUUUCAUUGAAUAUGCACACUAGUAACUUUCUUUUUUAUGCAAAGAUGGAGUGUGCAGUAGCAACUAAAGAAUAGAUACCUUUCACUGCCAUUUAUUGCUGUCAUCCUCUGGUCCUGUUUUUCUUUGCUACCAGUGAUCCAUAUUCCUGCAUAACACACACAGUCAUAAACUGCAUCAUGUUGUUUAUCUCGUAUAUAUAGACAAUGUUUAGUCAACAUAUGGUGAAGUGAAUAGUGACCUUGAAAUAUAGUAUGUUCAUUGUAACUGAAAGUAAAUGCUGUGGUUGCAGAAUCCGAAAGUUUAUAUCAUUAACCCCAAAGCCUGCCAGUGGCCGUGAUCAUGAGCCAAUUCUAUUCAUCUCUCAUUCUUACAACACAUGUCUCUAAAAUCCAUCUUCUGUAUGUUCUGAGUUGCCAUUCUUUGAGAGGGUUCCUCCUAAGAAUUCUGUAAUCAUUUCUUCUCUCUCUAUAUUAGCAAUUUGGCCAGACCAUCAUACCCUCCUAAAUAUAAUUAUCCAAAGAAUAUUAAGUGACCUGUAUGCAGUAGACCUCCUGUUAAUGUUUCUUGAUUUAAGAUGUUCCCUGAUCUAAUAGUUAUAGCAUUCCUAAGUCAAUAAUCUUAGUGUUAGAUUUCACACAUUUGUGAUCAACCUCAGUUUAGUGUUCAAGUCUACUGCUCCCAAAAAAACAUGAAAUAGGGGUUCCACUGUAAAUCCUGAAGUUCCUCAAUGUAAAAUGCCCUGAAUUUGUAUGUAUAUAAAUCCAUCGCAGUCUGUAUCUUUUAAACUAAUAGCUAUUAUGGAUUAGUAGACUAAUUUUACUGACUCUUUUUUUAAUUAUUGAAAAUUAAAACUGAAUUUUUGGACUUCACCCAGGGUCUUGUACUCUAAAAAAAA